rnacentral:rRNA from 1 species
CCUUCCGCGUAACACUUGGCCGAAGCCUUAGCAGCCCGAAAGGGUGCAGCCCCGUCGACUAUAAUCAAAAGAGGGUUGCUUAAAUGCUAGUCUGCAUCUCGCAGGCGACACUAUCAAAUUGCGGGAACACCCUAAAGACCUCAACACCAAGCGACCSUGGGAAACCAUGGCGUGGCCGAGCUAAUAGCCCUGGGUAUGGUAACAGCUUGAGGUAUGAUACCCCUUUGGGGGUUGAAAUGGGCAAUCCGCAGCCAAGUCCUAAAGCACCUAACUAGGUGUCAUGGAUGCUGUUCACAGGCCAAAUGGUAGUGGGUGACUCCAAAUGGAGUUGCUUAAGAUAUGGUCGGGCCCCUUCAGAAAUGUUGGGGGUAAGUUUACGCUAUGGCUUUCCAUUGCUAUCUAUACAGGUUAAUGGGUAAUUAAUGCUCCCCAAGAUCCUCCACACUUGAUAAUUCUAUCCAGUAGCGCGCGUCACAUACACAGCGAUUACCGCUAUGUAUGCUUGCGCAUACUAUGUUAAAUUACAA